rnacentral:rRNA from 1 species
UACGUAGGGAGCAAGCGUUGUCCGGAAUCAUUGGGCGUAAAGCGCGCGUAGGUGGCUUCGUAAGUCCGUUGUGAAAGUCAAAGGCUCAACCUUUGAAUGCCGAUGGAUACUGCGGAGCUAGAGUACGGAAGAGGCGAGUGGAAUUCCUGGUGUAGCGGUGGAAUGCGCAGAUAUCAGGAGGAACACCAAUAGCGAAGGCAGCUCGCUGGGACGUUACUGACACUAAGGCGCGAAAGCGUGGGG